rnacentral:rRNA from 1 species
AUGGCCAGGUCGCACCCGACCUCGCCGGCGCAGGACAACGCCAGCGGAGACCCUCUCCCAUUCGAAGCUGCACCUCCCUAUCUUCUUUCCGCAAUUUCACCCUCCUCUCCUUCCUUCUUCUCCCUCUCAUCUUCACUCUCUCCCCUGCAGAUCGAAUUGAGCGAGCGGCAGAGGAUGAGGCUGGCGGAACUGGGAAGAGGAGGGGCUCAGCGGCAGGCGCGGGAUGGAGGAAGGAAAGGGCGGCUGCGCGACGAGAAUCAAGGGAGAGAAGAGGAGGCGAUGGGAAGGCGACGAUGCAGGAGGGGAUGA